GCAAACUUGGUCAUUUAGAGGAAGUAAAAGUCGUAACAAGGUUUCCGUAGGUGAACCUGCGGAAGGAUCAUUACUGUGCCCCGUCAGAGCGUCACGCCCUCCAGCGUAGGCGUCUCUGCACCUGGCUCCCACCCGUGUUUACCUGACCUCUUGUUGCUUUGGCGGGCUGGCCGUCUGAGGCCGCCGGGGAGAGAAAGGAGGUCUCGGCCUCUCGCGCCCUGGUCCACGCCCGUCAGAGGAUCUCUUUUGAACUCGUAUGAAGCGAUGUCUCGUCUGAGUUAAAACGAAACAAUUAGUUAUGAAAAAAACUUUCAACAACGGAUCUCUUGGUUCCAGCAUCGAUGAAGAACGCAGC
rnacentral:misc_RNA from 1 species